AGCUCCAAUAGCGUAUAUUUAAGUUGUUGCAGUUAAAAAGCUCGUAGUUGGAUUUCGGGCGGGCUCGGCCGGUCCGCCGUUCGGUGUGCACUGACCGAGCCCGUCUUGUUGCCGGGGACGGGCUCCUGGGCUUAACUGUCCGGGACUCGGAGUCGGCGAGGUUACUUUGAGUAAAUUAGAGUGUUCAAAGCAGGCCUACGCUCUGAAUACAUUAGCAUGGAAUAACACGAUAGGACUCUGGCCUAUCUUGUUGGUCUGUGGGACCGGAGUAAUGAUUAAGAGGGACAGUCGGGGGCAUUCGUAUUUCAUUGUCAGAGGUGAAAUUCUUGGAUUUAUGAAAGACGAACUACUGCGAAAGCAUUUGCCAAGGAUGUUUUCA
rnacentral:rRNA from 1 species